rnacentral:rRNA from 1 species
UUCGUAGGUGGCCGACUAAGUCAAACGUGAAAUCCCUCAGCUUAACUGGGGAACUGCGUCUGAUACUGAUCGGCUUGAGUGCAGGAGAGGAACGCGGAAUUCCAGGUGUAGCGGUGAAAUGCGUAGAUAUCUGGAGGAACACCGGUGGCGAAGGCGGCGUUCUGGACUGCAACUGACACUGAGGAACGAAAGCCAGGGAGCAAACG